rnacentral:rRNA from 1 species
GAUGAACGCUGGCGGCGUGCCUAAUACAUGCAAGUCGAGCGAACAGACGAGGAGCUUGCUCCUCUGACGUUAGCGGCGGACGGGUGAGUAACACGUGGAUACCCUACCUAUAAGACUGGGAUAACUUCGGGAAACCGGAGCUAAUACCGGAUAAUAUAUUGAACCGCAUGGUUCAAUAGUGAAAGCCGGUUUUGCUGUCACUUAUAGAUGGAUCCUCGCCGCAUUAGCUAGUUGGUAAGGUAACGGCUUACCAAGGCAACGAUGCGUAGCCGACCUGAGAGGAUGAUCAGCCACACUGGAACUGAGACACGGUCCAGACUCCUACGGGAGGCAGCAGUAGGGAAUCUUCCGCAAUGGGCGAAAGCCUGACGGAGCAACGCCGCGUGAGUGAUGAAGGUCUUCGGAUCGUAAAGCUCUGUUGGUAGGGAAGAACAAAUGUGUAAGAAACUAUGCAGGUCUUGACGGUACCUGAUCAGAAAGCCACGGCUAACUACGUG